rnacentral:rRNA from 1 species
GGAAAAGAAACCAACAGGGAUUGCCCCAGUAACGGCGAGUGAAGCGGCAAAAGCUCAAAUUUGAAAUCUGGCUCUUUCAGAGUCCGAGUUGUAAUUUGUAGAAGAUGUUUCGGGCACCGCACCAGAUUAAAUUUCUUGGAACAGAAUGUCAUAGAGGGUGAGAACCCCGUCUUGACCUGGUGUAGGACUCAUGUGAAACUCUUUCGACGAGUCGAGUUGUUUGGGAAUGCAGCUCAAAAUGGGAGGUAAAUUUCUUCUAAAGCUAAAUAUUGGCCAGAGACCGAUAGCGCACAAGUAGAGUGAUCGAAAGAUGAAAAGCACUUUGAAAAGAGAGUUAAACAGUAUGUGAAAUUGUUGAAAGGGAAGCGCUUGCAACCAGACUUGAGCGCGGCGGUUCCCCCUUGCUUCUGCUUGGGCUACUCCGCCGUGUCCAGGCCAACAUCGGUUCCAGGGGUCGGUUAAAGACCCUGGGAAUGUAUCUACCCCUCGGGGUCGACUUAUAGCCCAGGGUGUCAUGCGGCCACCCGGGACCGAGGAACGCGCUUCGGCACGGAUGUUGGCGUAAUGGUUGUCAGCGGCCCGUCUUG